CCAAUAGCGUAUAUUAAAGUUGUUGCAGUUAAAAAGCUCGUAGUUGAAUUUCGAGAUCAAAUUGUUGGUCGUGCCUUGGUACGUACUGGCAUUAUUGGUUUCUCCCUUCUGACGAACCAAGAUGUCAUUAAUUUGGUGUCUUGGGGAAUCAGGACUGUUACUUUGAAAAAAUUAGAGUGUUUAAAGCAGGCUCGCGCUUGAAUACAUUAGCAUGGAAUAAUGAAAUAGGACGUUUGAUUCUAUUUUGUUGGUUUCUAGGAUCGACGUAAUGAUUAAUAGGGAUAGUUGGGGGCAUUAGUAUUCAAUUGUCAGAGGUGAAAUUCUUGGAUUUAUUGAAGACUAACUACUGCGAAAGCAUUUGCCAAGGAUGUUUUCAUUAAUCAAGAACGAAAGUUAGGGGAUCGAAGACGAUCAGAUACCGUCGUAGUCUUAACCAUAAACUAUGCCGACUAGGGAUCGGAUGAUGUUAAUUUUUUAAUGACUCAUUCGGCGCCUUACG
rnacentral:rRNA from 1 species